rnacentral:rRNA from 1 species
UGGGGAAUCUUGGACAAUGGGGGCAACCCUGAUCCAGCCAUGCCGCGUGAGUGAUGAAGGCCUUAGGGUCGUAAAGCUCUUUCGCCUGUGAAGAUAAUGACGGUAGCAGGUAAAGAAACCCCGGCUAACUCCGUGCCAGCAGCCGCGGUAAUACGGAGGGGGUUAGCGUUGUUCGGAAUUACUGGGCGUAAAGCGCACGUAGGCGGACCAGAAAGUUGGGGGUGAAAUCCCGGGGGCUCAACCCCGGAACUGCCUCCAAAACUAUUGGUCUAGAGUUCGAGAGAGGUGAGUGGAAUUCCAAGUGUAGAGGUGAAAUUCGUAGAUAUUUGGAGGAACACCAGUGGCGAAGGCGGCUCACUGGCUCGAUACUGACGCUGAGGUGCGAAAGUGUGGGGAGCAAACAGGAUUAGAUACCCUGGUAGUCCACGCCGUAAAACGAUGAAUGCCAGUCGUCGGGUAGCAUGCUAUUCGGUGACACACCUAACGGAUUAAGCAUUCCGCCUGGGGAGUACGGUCGCAAGAUUAAAACUCAAAGGAAUUG